CACGUAGGGGCCAAGCGUUGUCCGGAUUUAUUGGGCGUAAAGAGCUCGUAGGCGGUUCGACAAGUCUGGUGUGAAAACUCCGGGCUCAACCCGGAGACGCCACCCGAUACUGUCGUGACUGGAGUCCGGUAGGGGAGUGGGGAAUUCCUGGUGUAGCGGUGAAAUGCGCAGAUAUCAGGAGGAACACCGGUGGCGAAGGCGCCACUCUGGGCCGGUACUGACGCUGAGGAGCGAAAGCGUGGGUAGCAAACAGG
rnacentral:rRNA from 1 species